GGAUAAGCGGAAGAAAUUCCGUCUAAUACCGCGUAACAACCCGAGGAGGCAUCUCCUCGGGUUUAAAGGAAGCGAUUCCGGCUACGGAUGGUCAUGCGUCGCAUUAGCUAGUUGGCGGGGUAACGGCCCACCAAGGCGACGAUGCGUAGGGGUUCUGAGAGGAAGGUCCCCCACACUGGUACUGAGACACGGACCAGACUCCUACGGGAGGCAGCAGUGAGGAAUAUUGGUCAAUGGCCGCAGGGCUGAACCAGCCAAGUCGCGUGAGGGAUGACGGUCCCAUGGAUUGUAAACCUCUUUUGUCAGGGAGCAAAGGGCGCCACGUGUGGUGUUUUGCGAGUACCUGAAGAAAAAGCAUCGGCUAACUCCGUGCCAGCAGCCGCGGUAAUACGGAGGAUGCGAGCGUUAUCCGGAUUUAUUGGGUUUAAAGGGUGCGCAGGCGGAAUGUCAAGUCAGCGGUAAAAUUUCGGGGCUCAACCCCGUCGUGCCGUUGAAACUGGCGUUCUUGAGUGAGCGAGAAGUAUGCGGAAUGCGUGGUGUAGCGGUGAAAUGCAUAGAUAUCACGCAGAACUCCGAUUGCGAAGGCAGCAUACCGGCGCUCAACUGACGCUCAUGCACGAAAGCGUGGGUAUCGAACAGGAUUAGAUACCCUGGUAGUCCACGCAGUAAACGAUGAAUACUAACUGUCCGGGCAGAAUGAUGCCUGGGU
rnacentral:rRNA from 1 species